rnacentral:lncRNA from 1 species
UGUGUUGCUCUGUUACCCAGGCUGGAGCGCAGUGGCAAGAUCAUAGCUCACUGCAGCCUCAGUCUUCUGGGCUCAAGUGGAUCCUCCUGCUUCAGCCUCCAAAGUAGCUGGGACUACAGGAUAAAGUCGCCAGGACUUCACUUUGUGCUACUGCAAGUGCAUCAAAACCAAUAUUGUGUCUUUAGCAUUCGAAUCCAUGAACUUCUGAAAGAGAAACCAAAAAGCCGUGUCAGGUAUGGUUGGAGCCCGCAUUUUCAUUUGGGAGCAGAAGCAUGUCACAUAGUCUUCUAAAAAGAGAAAUUUUGCUUAAAAAUGACACAACAAAAUAAAAUGCUGACUAAGUCAUGGUAAGAAGUAGUCUUUGAAUUUGAAUAAA